rnacentral:lncRNA from 1 species
GAAAGGAUGCACUCCAGCACAACUAGCACUCGCGUGGGUUCACCACCAGGGAGAUGAUGUUUGCCCCAUCCCAGGAACCACCAAGAUCGAAAACCUUAACCAGAACAUUGGCGCUUUAUCAGUGAAACUCACUCCAGAAGAUAUUGCUGAGCUUGAGGUCAUUGGCCAACCUGAGUCUGUUAAAGGAGACAGAUACACGGCCAUGGUGCCCACCUUCAAGAACUCCGACACUCCACCGUUGUCUUCUUGGAAAGCCUCAUAAAACCGGUUGAGAGUCUCUCUGGUUAUGGUGAUACGUACAUGGGAUCGAAGUGGUUUAGCUUAUGUCUGCAACUCCAAUACGAGGUAAUAACAUGUUGCGCUUGUUUGUUUUGCAUUGCAUCUUGGAGAGUUUGAGCUUGCUAUGGGGGCUUCAAUAAUCUCAGAGAAUAAAAUAUGCAUAUGAUUCGAGCGUUAAUUCACCAAGUUUUAGGAGACUUUAUAAAACUUUGAAAUAUCUGAAUUUUAUCAUGAUCAAGGUUUAUGAAGAUCAAGUUAUUCACAAAGUUUUUUCUCAAAAAACAAAAAAAAAAGUUAUUCACACUGUUAUAUACCAGUAAAUAACUACAUACAGUAGUAACAGUACUAUGUUUAUAUCAUUUUAAUGGAAAUUUUUUCUUGGACGAAUAUUAAUUCAAAGAUAUAUCUAUAAUUUUCUUUUGUGUAAAUUUAGUAAAAAAAUAAAAUCAGUAAAAGUAGUAAGAAAUAUCAACAAUUAAAUUCUUUUUUUUUGGUCGAUCCAUAAAUUCAUGAACUCGAAAAAGAUAAAGAAAGACAAAUUAAAUUGGUUUUUUUGUUGCCUUUUCGGUUGAUAAUACCAUUUAUUGAUGUUGAAACGGCAUUAUUUUUCAUCAUUACCCUUCACCAACCCAACUCCAACAACCUCUCCACUCAAUUCAAAACUCUACAAGAGUCAAAGAGACAGAGAAAGAAAGAGGUGUGAGCUAAAUCAAUGGCGGAAGCUUGCGGAGUGAAGAGGAUGAAGCUGGGAAGCCAAGGCCUUGAGGUAUCGUCGCAAGGUCUUGGCUGCAUGGGCCUCUCCUCCUUCUACGGUGCUCCGAAGCCGGAAACUGAAGCCAUCGCUCUUCUCCGCCACGCAAUCGAAUCCGGCGUCACUUUCCUUGACACCUCCGACAUCUACGGUCCUGAGACCAACGAGUUUCUCCUCGGAAAGGUUCGGAUUUCGAAAUUCCCGAUCUUCGAUCUGAUCAUUUUCGCUUUGAUUUUAGUUAAAUCGAGAUGAGUUUUUGAGAGAUUUUCCAAAGUAUUUGAGCUCUGCUAUCUUAUUGGAAAAUAAAGAUUCGACUUUAGAGAUUUGGAAUUGGCAUCUGACUCUUUAGAAAUGAUUAAUUAUUUAAAAAGUUCAAAUUUUUUUGUCAGGCUCUCAAAGAUGGGUUUAGGGAGAAAGUAGAGCUUGCAAGCAAAUUUGGAAUCAGCUUUGCAGAGGGGAAGAGAGAGAUAAAGGGAGAUCCUUUGUAUGUGAGAGCUGCUUGUGAGGCUAGUUUAAAGCGUCUAGAUGUGAAAAGCAUUGAUCUUUAUUAUCAGCAUCGGAUUGAUACUCGUGUCCCUAUCGAAAUCACUGUAAGCCUUCUUACCCUCAAAAUGAAAUGAAAAAGUUAUCUGCUUGGAGUCGCACUUCACUUCCUUGGUAGAAAGAAGACACCUUUUGCUGUUCUUAACAAGUUCUUUUAUUGUUUUGUCAAUUUGCAAGAUGGGAGAACUGAAGAAGCUGGUUGAAGAAGGUAAAAUAAAGUACAUUGGUUUGUCUGAAGCCUCUGCUUCAACUAUCAGAAGAGCGCAUGCGGUUCACCCAAUAACUGCUGUGCAGUUAGAAUGGUCUUUGUGGACGAGAGACGUGGAAGAAGAAAUCAUCCCGACCUGCAGGUAAGGGAGUCAAUGCAGAUUUUGCUCUUCUUUUCAUGGUGCAUUAUACUAAUACUUAAAUGAACAUCAUCUUUACUUUCGUUCUUUAGGGAACUUGGGAUUGGAAUUGUUGCUUACAGUCCUCUGGGACGAGGUUUCUUUGCAUCAGGACCCAAGCUUGUUGAGAACCUAGAAAAUAAUGACUUUAGAAAGGCAAGUACAAAGGUUUUGUAUGACUUGUAGUCUUGUUUGAUUGAUGAAUCUUAUAUAUUUUGCUCAAUUCUGUUUCUUAUUGCAGACUCUACCAAGAUUCCAACAAGAAAACUUAGACCACAACAAGAUUCUCUACGAGAAGGUUUGUGCAAUGUCUGAGAAGAAAGGAUGCACUCCAGCACAACUAGCACUCGCGUGGGUUCACCACCAGGGAGAUGAUGUUUGCCCUAUCCCUGGAACCACUAAAAUCGAAAACCUGGAUCAGAACAUUGGAGCUUUAUCAGUGAAACUCACUCCAGAAGAGAUGGCUGAGCUCGAGGUCAUUGGCCAACAAGAGUCUGUUAAAGGAGAAAGACACGGUAACAUCGCGACCACUUUCAAGAACUCAGACACUCCACCAUUGUCUUCUUGGAAAGCCGCUUAAACCCGGCUGAGUUUCUCUGUUGUGGUGGUGCCUGACAUUGAAGCAGUCUUAACUCUGUCAGCGAGAUCAAGAUUGUUGAUGUGGUUGCAUCUUUUGAGAGUUUCAGAAGAAAUGCCUUGAAGAAUAUGUAUAGAGUUCCCCAAGUGAAAACUUCAAUUUACAUUUUUAUACAUUGUUGUGACCAAUCUCUAUAGAAAAAGAAAGAAUAUGUAUAGAGUUCCCCAAGUGAAAACUUCAAUUUACAUUUUUAUACAUUGUUGUGACCAAUCUCUAUAGAAAAAGAUCUGUUAUGUUCAAACUUCAGAGUAUGUUAACAAUAUGCAAGAUGAAGAUCCAAAUAUAAAUAAAAUAAAUAAUAAUAGAAGAAAAACUAAAAGAAAGUUUGAAACAGAACUUAAUUUGUUACUCACCGGCUCACCAAAAAGGCAAAAACUUAUGAGAAAGACAAAAAAUAAAGUUUCUUGUGUCAAAAUUAUUAUUUAGAUAAGAUGAAGACAAGAUCCUAACUUAUGUUUAGACAAAAGGAGUACAAGUCAACAAUUUAUAAAUGUUUUAGUCUUUGUUAAUGCUAGUCUUUGUUUAUGCUAGUCUUCUUCACCAACCAAAGAAAAAUCGAUUCUUCAUCAUCACCAACUCCACUCAACUCAUAGCUUUACAAGAGUCACAUAGAGAAGCGAGACAGAGAGAGAGAGAGAGUUGUGAGAGAAAUCCAUGGCGGAAGCUUGCAGAGUGAAGAGAAUGAAGCUUGGAAGUCAAGGCCUUGAGGUAUCCGCGCAAGGUCUUGGUUGCAUGGGUCUCUCCGCUCGCUACGGUUCUUCCGUACCGGAAAAUGACGACAUCGCUUUCCUCCACCAUGCAAUUAACUCCGGCGUUACUUUUCUUGACACCUCCGACAUGUACGGUCCUCACACAAACGAGUUGCUCAUCGGCAAGGUUCGGUUUUUGUGAUUGAUCUUGCUUUAUUUGAUCGAGCUUCAUAUCUGUAGAAGAAAAAAAAUUUGAUUCUUGAAGUUUUGAAAUGAUCUGCCAGGCUCUCAAGAACGGGAUGAGGGAGAAAGUGGAACUUGCGUCCAAAUUCGGAAUCAUUUAUACAGAGGGAAAGAUGGAGAUAAAAGGAGAUCCUGCGUAUGUUAGAGCAUCUUGUGAGGCUAGUUUAAAGCGUCUAGAUGUGGAAUGCAUUGAUCUUUAUUACCAGCAUCGGAUCGAUACUAGUGUCCCUAUCGAAAUCACUGUAAGUAUUCUUACAAUCAAAUGAAAUGGAAGUUAUAUAGUGUUAAUCUUUGCCUUGUGAUAUGUUGUGACUAUAUUUUUCCCUUGGAACACUAUCUCUCUCUGUUUCUGGUGAAGAGUUCUUUGACUUAGAUGAAUUUAGAAUCUUUCUUCAUCAAUCAAUUAUUGUUGGUUCUGAGCUUUAAUGGGUUUGCCAAUGCUUGAUGACUUUUAUAGAAAUUUGAGUUUUUUCCUCACCUUUUUGUUGAACUUUAACAGUUUCUUUUGUCUUUAAGAUGGGAGAACUCAAGAAGCUAGUUGAAGAGGGUAAAAUAAAGUACAUCGGUUUGUCUGAAGCCUCUGCCUCAACUAUCAGAAGAGCGCAUGCUGUUCACCCAAUAACUGCUGUGCAGCUAGAGUGGUCCUUGUGGACGAGAGACGUUGAAGAAGAAAUCGUCCCGACCUGCAGGUAUCAAGAUUUUAGCCUCCUUUCUUGGUGCAUUCUUCAUAAAUCAAGCAACUUCAUUGUUCACUUUUUUUCCUUUCUUCAGGGAACUUGGGAUCGGGAUUGUUGCUUACAGUCCUCUAGGAAAAGGUUUCUUUGCAUCUGGACCAAAACUUGUUGAGACGCUAGACAAAGAUGACUUCAGAAAGGCAAGUUCAAACGUUUUGUUGUAGGACUUGUUUGAUUGAUGAGCCUAGCUGAGAAUGUGACUGUAUAUUUUCUCAAUUCUGUUUCUUAUUGCAGAGACUACCAAGAUUCCAACAGGAAAACUUAGACCACAACAAGAUUCUGUACGAGAAGGUUUGUGUAAUGUCUGAGAAGAAAGGAUGCACUCCCGCACAGCUAGCACUCGCAUGGGUUCAUCACCAGGGAGAUGAUGUUUGCCCCAUCCCAGGAACCACCAGGAUCGAAAACUUUAACCAGAACAUUGGAGCUUUAUCAGUGAAACUCACUCCAGAAGAUAUGGCUGAGCUCGAGGCCAUUAGCCAACCAGAGUCUGUGAAGGGAGAAAGAUACAUGGCCAUGGUGCCCACCUUCAAGAACUCUGACACUCCACCAUUGUCUUCAUGGAAAACCGCAUAAAAUCAGACUGAGAGUUUCUCUGGUUAUGGUAGUACUUACAUGGCAUUGAUGUGGUUUAGCUUAUGUCAGCCUAAUACAAAGUAAUAAUAAUAUGUUGAAGUUGUUGUGUUGCAUCUUCGAGAGUUGCACUUUUGCAUAGGGGCUUCAACAAUCUCUCAGGGUUUAUGCCUUACAAGAUUAAAGUAAACUUUGAUUCGAGAGUUCACCAAGCUAUCUACGAGACAUCGAAAUAAUAUAUAUCUUUAUUUUUUUGCUCAACUUCAAGUCUUCAACUUAGCAUUAACCAAUAGAGUUAUACACUGGUUUAUCAACCUCAAUAGAGCUUUACACUGGUACUGAUCCGUCUUAGUCCCAGCAAUAUGAAUCUUGACUUGCUAAACCACCUGGUUUAAUUUUACCCACAAGACUUAGAUCAGGUUCAUGAAGUAUUUUGCUGCAGAUCCUCUUUUCUCCAUUCUCUCUGCUUUGAUCAUCCAUCAGCUCACUGACUUUAGUCCAUUUUUUUACUUCAUCCUGCAACCGAAUAGUAACCAUUGAAAUAUUUGAACUUUUAUCAAGACAUCAAAUUCUUUUUCAACUCUUUUGGGUUUAUAAAUUCCAUUUUUACGACAAAAAAAAAAUCCAUUUUUAGUUUCGUAAAAAAAAAGAAUCAAUGGCCAAAAUGCCAUAAUUUGGAAAAGAAAAAUCUUAGGUACCAUAACUGAGUCUGGAUGCCAUAAACUAUGUAUAUUCUCAAUUUUACCCUUAAUGAAAGAUUCUUGUGGCAUUUGUGAAAUUGUCCAAAUUUGUUAUUGUUUAAAUAAUUUUAAUUGACACUAAUAAUUAAUUUUUUAAAUUUUUGGUUUUUUUUUCUUGAGCUCAUUUUGUUUCCCGAUAGUUUGUUGUCAAUGAAUCUGAAAACCAGCUAAAUCCAUCUUUUUCGUCGAAUCCUUGUCUUCGUCUCCUUUUCCUCUUCCUCUGCAAUUAAUUUCUUGUUCUUAUCUCCUUUCUCCUCUACCAUUGUUGAAGCUUUAAAUCUGGGUGAUUUGUUCUUAUUUAGGGAUUUAGGGAUUUCACAAUUUAGGUAUUGGAUUUGUGAAAAUUAUUUGUUUCAGUAUGCAAAUUGGAUUGGUAACCAAGUUUUAUGUGAUUAUUAGGUCUUUGCAUUGGUAAUUUAUGGUCCAUAAAUUAUGGAGUUUAGUUGUUGAAUCUCUGUGAUUUUUAGGUAGAUUAGAAUUAGAACCUGAGUUCAUCACCACAUCUGCAGAAAAGAACAACUAGUACAAAUGAUACAACUAAAAGAUAAAAGACAACUGGUACAAAUGGUACAACUAAGAAAUAGAAGACAACUAGUACAAAUGGUACAACUAUGAGAUAGAUAACAACUAGUAAAAAUAUGUAUAACUAAAACAACUUGAAUAAUUGCUAAUUGAGAAUUCUUUUAUUCUAUUUUCAAGAGAUAAUGAGCAUCAACCACACAAACAUUUCAAUGGAUUUCAAGAAAUUUCAUCUAUGUUAUAUCAUUUACUAUCUCAUAUUUAGAGCAUAUAACUUAUUACAUCUAUAUUAUAUUGUUAAUCAUGUUAUGAAACAAAAGAGACAAAAUAUAUGAUUUUACAUAACUUGUAAUAUGAAAACCUCUUAACUGAAAAUUAAUAGUUGAAAAUCAAUGUAAACGCUAAAAUCUCAAAAGAACAACUAUUAAAUUUUCAGACAACUGGACAAUUAGGUACAACUAUAUACAAAAAUUGACUAUAUACAUAGGUGCACAUGUUUCUUAAUUUGACAGACAUCUGUACACUUAGGAAAGUCAAUUUAGUAUAGAGGAUUUUAUUUUUGGCUGAGAAUGCUUUCAGGAUAGAAAUUAACAAGGUACAACUGGACACUUGUACAACUAUAUGUAAUUCUUUAAUUAGAAAAUAAUAAUAAUAAAAUUAUAAGAAUCAAAAGAAAGCAUUCAGUUAAAAAUGCAAAAAGAUUAAAAACUAUAAGGAAUAAAAUUAAAAAGAUGGAUAAUAUGAAAUAAUAAUUUUUCUAAUACAUAUUAUUGGUUUGACAUCAAACACCUUUUAUGAUACAAAGAAGACUUUGAUAAUGUUAACAAUUUUAUGGUGGAAAAGAUGCAAAAUUAUGAUUUUGCAUAAAUUGUAGUAUGAAAAUGUUGUAAAUGGACUAUAGUAGUCAAAAAUCAUGUGGACAACUACAAAAUAAUAAUUUAUAUCAAGGGACAACUAGAAAAAUGCUAAAAUCGCCAAAGGACAACUAUGAAGAAUUCUGGACAAUUGGACAAUUGGGUACAACUAUGUACAAAAUUGACGACGCACGUGACACUUUGACUGCGCACAUGUCUAUUUUUGUCGGGGCUUAGCUUCGUGGAUGUGAAUAAGCAAAGGACAACUGGACAAGUAAGGACAACUAUAUGCAACUCAUUAAUUUAAAAAAAUAAUAAUAAUUAAACUAAAUUAAAUAUAUAAAGAAAGUAUAUACUUAAGAAAUACAAACAUGUCUUAAAGUAUAAGGAACAAUAUUAAUAACAUGGAUAAAAUAAAAAUUUCAUUUUCCUAAUACAUAUUAUUGAUUUCACAUCAAACAUCCCUUAUGAUACAAGGAAGACUUUCAUAAGGUUAACAAUCUUUUGAUGGAAAAGAUGCAAAUUUAUGAUUUUGCAUAAUUUGUGUCAUGAAAACCUUGUAAAUGAACUGCAAUAGUCGAAAAUCAUGUGGACAACUACAAAAUAAUAAUUUAUACUAAAGGACAACUGGAAAAAUGCUAAAAUCGCCAAAGGAAAACAAUGAAGAAUUUUGGACAACUGGACAAUUGGGUACAACUAUGUACAAAAUUGACGGCGCACGUGGUACUUUGACUGCGCACGUGUCUAUUUUUGUUGGGGCACGUGUUCUUUAGCUUAGUGGAUGUGAAUAAACAAGGGACAACUGGACAAGUAAGGACAACUUUAUGCAACUGCUAAAAAAAAUUAAUAAUUAAUUUAAUUAAACAUAUAAAGAAAAAUUUUGGACAACUGGACAAGUAUGGACAACUAUGUUCAAAAUUGACGACUUACGACGCACAUGUUAUUUUGACUGCGCACAUAUUUUUUUUGUCUCCAAAGGAUAACUAUGAAGAAUUUUGGACAACUGGACACUUAGGUACAUAGUUGUCCAAUUGUACUUAAGUGUCCAGUUGUCCAAAAUUCUUAAUAGUUGUCCUUUUGCGAUUUUAGCGUUUUUGUAGUUGUACCUUGAUACAAAUAAUUAUGUUGUAGUUGUUCAUAAGAUUUUUUUGACUAUUGUAAUGUAUUUACAACGUUUUCAUAAUACAAGUUAUGCAAAAUCAUAUUUUUUUUUCAUCAUAAAAUUGUUAACAUUAUCAAACUAUUCAAGAUAACAUCUCAAAUACAGCCAAAAAUUCAUAAUGGCUAACGCUGAUGAUGUGAUGUGAAAUCAAUUAGACCACACAUGAACCUGUUUCUUGUGUAUACGUCCUAGAAUAAAGCUUCAGCAACAGCGUUUCUUCUUUGCUUUGAGUUCUUCCCUAAACAAGUGCGACUACUCUCAUCUUCUUUUGGAGGUCCACUGUUUGGUGUUAUCUUAGCUAAGCAUUUCCCAGUCGAUAUAUUGCUGAUAUUGAUCGCUGCACCAUUCAUAAGCCAAUAAGUGAGAACUGUUGGUUUAAAGGGUAUGUAUCUCAAUGUGGAGACCUGCAUUUACAAAUCUGAAACAAACCUUUAUCAAAAACACGUAAAAUAUAAACUGAAACACUGGUUCGAAUAUGGUUUAGCGCAUUUGAAUCAUUAAAAUUCUAUUAUGGCUGCUCUGAGUUCCAUAAUCUGAACCACUAUCAGUGAAAAAUUCUAAGUGAAUGUGUUUAUUCAUGACAGACAUGUAACCUUUGCGGUAGCAGAGAAAGUUGCAUGAACUUGAAUAUGGCAUCAAGAUUAUAUCAACUUACCACCAUUAACGAUUCUGAAACAUCAGACCAAGCACAAAACAGAGGACGACCAAAUGAAGACGCUUCACUGAAGAAAGAUCUUGUCCUGAUUGUGCUGCGACCGAGAGCCCCUUGCGUCUCUUCUUCCGCAAAUUUUCCUCCCUUUUAUUCUUCCUGAUCUCAGCCAUGUUAAGUCUCUUUAUAACACUAUCUUCUGAAACUUUUCCUCCAGAAACACUAAUUGUCCUUCACAUUCACGAGUCCCAUAAACAAAAACAAAAAUCAGAAAUCCAUUUCUCAAAAAUCCUUUCAGCAAUGACUUCCAAUACUGUUUUAUACUGGGGAAAUUGUUGUUAUUUCAGGAGCCACAAAGAAGAAAUCUUACAAGGAGAUCGUGAUCGAUGGGAGGCGGAGAGAAAUCAAACUGCAACUAAUCAGAAGCCGAGACGCAACAGAUCUGGAAGAUCUGCGUUCUUGAGAACCAUUGUUUCGGAGAUGGAGGGAGCGGCGGCGAAGGAUUGAUCUCCAUAAAUCAAAGAAAGAAGAUUCAGCAAGAUUUUGGAAAAAGCUAUAAGAUCGUCGAAGAGAAGAAGAACACAUAUUUUUGUUCGUUUGAUAAUAAAAUAUUAAUAUAAUUAUUUAAUUAUUUGAGAUAAAUAAAAAUAUCAAUAGGUUAAACGGAUAUUCAUGAGUCAUUAGAUUUGAUUAGGUUUAACCCUAGUAUUACUAUAAUUAAAGAAACAAGUAAGGAAGAAGCAAGGAUUUUAUUAAUUAUUAGAUUAUGGCUUCUAAGCCUAUUUUUUCCUAAAUUAUGUAGCCUCUCGCUCUAAAAAAAAGGUGUCACCUUUCUUGUUCAUCAUCGCCACUCACCAAUCGAACUGCAACAAACCACUUCCACUCAUCCAUGGCGGACUGUGGAGUGAGGAGGAUGAAACUGGGAAGCCAAGGCUUUGAAGUAUCGGCGCAGGGUCUUGGUUGCAUGAGCCUCUCCGCCUUCUUCAGUGUUCCGGAGCCGAAAACUGAUCCCAUCGUUCUUCUCCACCACGCAAUCGAAUCCGGCGUCACUUUCCUUGAUACCUCCGACAGCUACGGUCCUGAGACCAACGAGUUGCCUCUCAGCAAGGUUCGGUUUUUGAAAUUCCCGAUCAUGUUUUGUUAGAUCAUGUUUUGUUUGAUUGUUCGACAGAUUUUCCCAGAUUUUUGACUUGGGCAACAAAGAUGAAAUAACCACUUUAUAGCUGGGGAUUUCUGAUUUCCCUCCUCGAUUCUUUGAUCAUUGUAUCUGUAGAAAGGAUUCCAUUGUUGCAAAUUUUGAAUUUUAUCAGGCCCUGAAGAACGGGAUGAGGGAGAAAGUGGAGCUUGCGACCAAAUUCGGAAUCAUUUAUGGUGCAGAAGGAAAGAGAGAGAUCAAGGGAGAUCCUGCGUAUGUUAGAGCUGCUUGUGAGGCUAGUUUAAAGCGUCUAGAUGUUGCCUGUAUUGAUCUCUAUUAUCAGCAUCGUAUAGAUACUCGUGUUCCUAUCGAAAUCACUGUAAAGACCUUCUUUCCCAAUGCUACUUCAUGCGAUGGUUUUUCAGUUUUUCUAAAUGAAAACGGAAGUUAUAGUUCAGUGAGCAUCACUUCUUUGGCUUGGGAUAUGUUGGAACCAAUAUUGUCAAAGAAAAUAGAUUUGGGGACAAAUGUUUUUCUGCUUGUGUCUCUCUUUCUGAUAUUGUGAAUUACUAUAGAGUGAAAGGGAAAUAGAUUGGUUUCCUUGACCAUUUGUUAGUUGGGAGCCUUUUGGCUAUGGGAGAGUUGGGAGAUCUCUGCAAUAAUCUCCAAUAUAGUUAGGGUUCUUGAUUGUAAUCUUGAUUGAUAAGAAGACGGUUUUGGUAAUUGAGUUUUAACAUAUUGCUAGCUUAUUCGUUAAGAACUAAUAUCUGGUGAAAUGAUCUUUGACUGAGAGAAAUUUACGGCCUUCUCAUCUUUCCUCAUCUAUCAUUUAGGGUUGCUUCUGAGCUCAAAUAAUUUGUUUGUGACAUUCCUGACCUUUAGAAAGCAUUUUGAUGAACUUAACAAUUUCAUUUUUUUCUGUUAUUCCAAGAUGGGAGAGCUGAAGAAGCUGGUUGAAGAAAGAAAAAUAAAGUACAUCGGUUUAUCUGAAGCCUCUGCCUCAACUAUCAGAAGAGCCCAUGCGGUUCACCCAGUAACUGCUGUGCAGCUAGAGUGGUCCUUGUGGACGAGAGACGUGGAAGAAGAAAUCAUCCCGACCUGCAGGUAUCCAGAUCUCAUCCUCUUUUCUUGGUGCACUAUCCAUCAAAUGUAACGUCUCCUCUUUCUUUCUUUGAGAAUAAAACUUAGAAGUUGAAGGCAAAUGCUGAUUUCUCUACUGGUUUAUUUACUGUCUUGAAGUUUGUUCAUAGAGAAUAUCCAACAGAGUUCAACACUCUUUCUCUUUAAGAAUCAAAUCAUGUAAUGUCUUCUCUUUCCUUUUUCAGGGAACUUGGGAUUGGGAUUGUUGCCUAUAGUCCUCUAGGAAGAGGUUUCUUCGCAUCUGGACCCAAGCUUCUUGAAAAUCUAGACAAUAAUGACUACAGAAAGGCUAGUACAUAUGCUUUGUAAGCCUUGUUUGAUUGAUGAACCUUAGAUAUACUUUAGGUAAUUAAUCAAUCAACCAACUGUCAUUUGCUCUUCUGUUUCUUAGUGCAGACUUUACCAAGAUUCCAACAGGAAAACUUAGUCCACAACAAGAUUCUUUACGAGAAGGUUUGUGCGAUGUUGGAGAAGAAAGGAUGCACUCCUGCACAACUAUCCCUCACAUGGGUUCACCACCAGGGAGAUGAUGUUUGCCCCAUCCCUGGAACCACCAAGAUCGAAAACCUCAAUCAGAACAUUGGAGCUUAAUCAGUGAAACUCACUCCAGAAGAGAUGGCUGAGCUCGACGUCAUUGGCCAAUCAGAGUCUGUGAGAGGAGAAAGAUGCAUGGCCAAUGUGCCCACCUUCAGGAACUCUGACACUCCACCGUUGUCUUCCUGGAAAGCCGCUUAAAACCAGUUGAGAGUUUUACUUACAUGGCAAUGAAGUGGUGUAGCUUAUAUGUCCGCCAGCCCAAUACGAGGUAAUAAUAUGUUGAGGUUGUUUGUUUUGCAUCUUCGAGAGUUAGACCAAUGCUAUGCUAUGCAUAAGGGGCUUCAAUAAUCUCACAGGGUCUAUAUGCAUUCAAGUAUAAAUUAUGCAUAUGAUUCAAGUGUUCACUAAGUUUUAGCAGACUUUAUAAAACUUUGAAAUGUCUGAAUUUUAUGAUGAUCAAGCUUUCUUAAGAUCAAGUUAUUCACAAUGUUCUUUCUCCAAAAAAAAAAAAAAAAAGAGGUUAUUUACAAUGUUAUAUACUAGUACACCCGUGUAUAUCAUUUUAAUUCAAAGAUUUUUUGUUUUGGAAGCAUAUUAAUUCAAAGAUGUUUCUAUUUUUUUGUGUAAAGUAAAAUACCUUAAUAAGUUUAGUAAAAUACCUUGAUAAGUUUAGUAAAAGUAGUAAAAAUAUCCAGAACUAAAUUCAAGAACUCUAAAAGAGAAAGAUUGACAAAUUAAAUUGGUUUUUUUUUUUUUUUUUUUUUGCAUUUUCGUUUGAUGUUGAUGUUGUACGGCUCUAUUUUUCUUUCCCUUAUCAUUUACCUUCACACUCCUCUCCACUCAAUUCAAAACUCUACAAGAGUCACACAGAGAGAGAGAAACAGAGAAAGAAAGAGGUGUGAGCUAAAUCAAUGGCGGACUCUUGCGGAUUGAAGAGGAUGAAGCUGGGAAGCCAAGGCCUUGAAGUAUCGGCGCAAGGUCUUGGUUGCAUGAGCCUCUCCGCCUUCUACGGUGUUCCGAAGCCGGAAACUGAAGCCAUCGCUCUUCUCCACCACGCCAUUGACUCCGGCAUUACUUUCCUUGACACCUCCGACAUGUACGGCCCUCACACAAACGAGUUGCUCGUCGGAAAGGUUCGGUUUGAUCUUGUUUUAUCUGAGUUUCAUAUUUGUAGAAGAAAAGAUUUGAUUCUUGAAGUUUUGAAAUGAUCUGGCAGGCUCUCAAGAACGGGAUGAGGGAGAAAGUGGAACUUGCGUCCAAAUUCGGAAUCAUUUAUACAGACGUGAAGUUGGAGAUAAAAGGAGAUCCUGCGUAUGUGAGAGCAUCUUGUGAAGCUAGUUUAAAGCGUCUAGAUGUGGAAUGCAUUGAUCUUUAUUACCAGCAUCGGAUUGAUACUUGUGUCCCUAUCGAAAUCACUGUAAGCAUUCGGACUAUCAAAUGACAUUGAUGUUAUAUAGUGUUCAUUUUUGCCUUGGGCUAUGUUGGGACUAUAUGUUUUUACCCUUGGAACACUCUUUUCUGGUGUAGUGUUCUUUGACUUAGUGAGUUUGAGUCUUUCUUCAUCAAUCAAUUAUUGUUGGUUCUGAGCUCUAAUUAGUUUUCCAACACUUGAUGACUCUUUCCUCACCUUUUUGCUGAACUUUAACAUUUUGUCUUUAAGAUGGGAGAACUCAAGAAGCUAGUUGAAGAGGGUAAAAUAAAGUACAUUGGUUUGUCUGAAGCCUCUGCUUCAACUAUCAGAAGAGCGCAUGCUGUUCACCCAAUAACUGCUGUGCAGCUAGAGUGGUCCUUGUGGGCGAGAGACGUGGAAGACGAUAUCGUCCCGACCUGCAGGUAUCUAGAUUUCAUCCUUUCUUUCUUUGUUGCAAUAUUUCAUCAAUCAUGUUCACUUUUUCCUUUCUUCAGGGAACUUGGGAUCGGGAUUGUUGCCUACAGUCCUCUAGGAAAAGGUUUCUUCGCAUCUGGACCCAAGCUUGUUGAGAAUCUUAACAAUAAUGACUUCAGAAAGGCAAGAACAAACGUUUUGUUGUAGGACUUGUUUGAUUGAUGAGCCUUGUAAGUAACCUGAGAAUGUGACUGUGUAUUUGCUCAAUUCUGUCUUGUAUUGCAGAGACUACCAAGGUUCCAACAAGAAAACUUAGACCACAACAAGAUUCUUUACGAGAAGGUUUGUGCAAUGUCUGAGAAGAAAGGAUGCACUCCCGCACAGCUAGCACUCGCAUGGGUUCACCACCAGGGAGAUGAUGUUUGCCCCAUCCCAGGAACCACCAGGAUCGAAAACUUUA